rnacentral:tRNA from 2 species
AACUAAUGAGCUUGAAUAAGCAUAUACCUUGAAAGUAUGUCAUAGAAUUAUUACAUUCUAUUAGUUU